CCAGCUGAACCCCAAGGACAGGGUUGGCUCCUUCUCUCCCUCUGUCCAUCUCCUCCCUGCACCAUGGCCCUGUGCGCUCUGCCUCUCUGUCUCCUGGGGCUGUUCCUGGCAGGUUCUUGUGCCCAGCACGUGGUGACACAGCCGCCCUCAGUGUCAGGGUCUCCAGGGCAGACAGUGAAACUCUCGUGCAGCGUCAGUGGAGGAUACGACUUCAGUAGCUAUGGAGUGAGGUGGUACCAACAGACCCCUGGGAAUCCUCCCAGAUACCUGCUCUAUUAUUUCAGUGAUUCUAACACAGGCAGGGACACUGGGGUCCCGGACCGGUUCUCUGGCUCUGCCUCCGGCAGUGUUGGCUACUUAACCAUCUCUGGGCUCCAAGCCGAGGAUGACGCUGAUUAUUACUGUCUGACUUGGGACAGCAGCGCUAACAUGCUCACAGUGGUGUAAUCAGAGAGGGAACUGAGACAAAAACCUUUCACAUUUCACUGCCCAACACCGAGCGAGACUCUGAGGAAGAGCUUUGAGGUUAGUGGGGCAGAGCUGUGGCCAGAGAGAGGCUCCCUUGGCCGUGUUGUACCCGGCCUUUGCUGAAGGGAUUGCUUUUCCCUCACACGAGAUCCCCCUCCUCCUAGACUAAUCUCCUGGCACUGCAUGGGGGGUGGGAGCUGC